rnacentral:lncRNA from 1 species
UAAAUGUUGCCAUAAAUUUCAGCUUUAUAUAAUAACUAAACGUUGCCUUAAAAAAAAGUAUGUCAUUUUCUCAUUAGCUAUAGGUGUAUACACUUGUCGUUUUUUUUUUUUUUGAAUAAGUAUUCACUUGUAGUAUUUUUUUUGUCAACAUCAAUAAUAAAGACUCAAAAUAGCCAAAAGUGAGGAAUGUUGUUUACAUACAAACAAAUCAGCGGCUCAGCACGCACUCUACGUUCUAACAUAUCCGCUUUAAGAUUAG